UGAAAAGUACUUUGAAAAGAGGGUAAAAAGAACCUGAAACCGUUACGGGGGAAGCGGAUUGCGUUGGCCUGGUGGCUGCCUGUGUGUUCAGCCUUUUAUGGUGCAUUGAUACAGGUGGUUAUUCGUCGUGGCUUUUUGGUGGCUGAUAAUGAGCUGCCGAAGGGUGAGGGCUCCCCUUUUUGGGUGAGGACGACGGAGUGACGACGCGAUACGACCCGUCUUGAAACACGGACCAAGGAGUCUAGCGCAGGUGCGAGUCAAAGGGUGUUAAAACCUGUGGGCGUAGUGAAAGCGACUUUUUUUUUAAUAUAAAAACGAGCAGUUUGGGGCGGCAUAGAAUCGUUGAUUCUAGGUCUGACCUUGAGCAGUUGCGCUGGGACCCGAAAGAUGGUGAACUAUGCCGGAGUAGGGCGAAGCCAGAGGAAACUCUGGUGGAGGCUCGUAGCGGUGCUGACGUGCAAAUCGCUCGUCGAACUUGGGUAUAGGGGCGAAAGACUAAUCGAACCAUCUAGUAGCUGGUUUCCUCCGAAGUUUCUCUCAGGAUAGCAGGCCGACACUUUUUUUUACGUUGUUUUGUGC
rnacentral:rRNA from 1 species